GAUGAACGCUGGCGGCGUGCCUAAUACAUGCAGGUCGAGCGAACGGACGAGAAGCUUGCUUCUCUGAUGUUAGCGGCGGACGGGUGAGUAACACGUGGAUAACCUACCUAUAAGACUGGGAUAACUUCGGGAAACCGGAGCUAAUACCGGAUAAUAUUUUGAACCGCAUGGUUCAAAAGUGAAAGACGGUCUUGCUGUCACUUAUAGAUGGAUCAGCGCUGCAUUAGCUAGUUGGUAAGGUAACGGCUUACCAAGGCAACGAUGCAUAGCCGACCUGAGAGGGUGAUCGGCCACCCUGGAACUGAGACACGGUCCAGACUCCUACGGGAGGCAGCAGUAGGGAAUCUUCCGCAAUGGGCGAAAGACUGACGGAGCAACGCCGCGUGAGUGAUGAAGGUCUUCGGAUCGUAAAACUCUGUUAUUAGGGAAGAACAUAUGUGUAAGUAACUGUGCACAUCUUGACGGUACCUAAUCAGAAAGCCACGGCUAACUACGUG
rnacentral:rRNA from 1 species